CCUACGGGGCGCUGCAGUGAGGAAUAUUGGUCCAUGGGCGCUAGCCUGAACCAGCCAAGUAGCGUGAAGGAUGACUGCCCUACGGGUUGUAAACUUCUUUUAUAUGGGAAUAAAGUGAGGAACGUGUUCCUUUUUGUAUGUACCAUAUGCAUAAGCAUCGGCUAACUCCUUACCCGCAGCCGCGGUAAUACGGAGGAUGCGAGCGUUAUCCGGAUUUAUUGGGUUUAAAGGGUGCGUAGGUGGUUAAUUAAGUCAGCGGUGAAAGUUUGUGGCUCAACCAUAAAAUGGCUGUUGAAACUGGUUGACUUGAGUACAUUUGAGGUAGGCGGAAUGCGUGGUGUAGCGGGGAAAUGCAUAGAUAGCACGCAGAACUCCGAUUGCGAAGGCAGCUUACUAAACUAUAACUGACACUGAAGCACGAAAGCGUGGGGAUCAAACAGGAUUAGAUACCCGAGUAGUC
rnacentral:rRNA from 1 species